UACAGAGGUCUCAAGCGUUGUCCGGAAUUAUUGGGCGUAAAGGGCUCGUAGGCGGUCCGUCACGUCGGGCGUGAAAACUCAGGGCUCAACCCUGAGCGUGCUUCCGAUACGGGCGGACUAGAGGUAUGCAGGGGAGAACGGAAUUCCUGGUGUAGCGGUGGAAUGCGCAGAUAUCAGGAGGAACACCGGUGGCGAAGGCGGUUCUCUGGGCCUUACCUGACGCUGAGGAGCGAAAGCGUGGGGAGCGAACAGG
rnacentral:rRNA from 1 species